ensembl:lncRNA
UGGUUGGCAUGUUAUCCUUAAACCUUUGCUUGAUGAUUUGGAAAAACUUUCCACUGAUGGCUUUACUUUUACCAUUGAUAAAACUGAACACACUAUUCAUGCUGCUCUUGCAACUUUAUCUUGUGAUAAUUUAUCAGCUCACAUGAUUGGUGGUUUUUCUAUGUCAUUUAACACUGGUAGAAUUUGUCGGUAUUGCAUGGCUUCUUAUGAAGAUAUGAAACAAUCCUUUGAGGAAGAAAGCUUUGUUUUAAGAACAUCAGAGGUUCACCAGUAUCAUCUUGCACGAAUCCAAGAAUUUCCGGAUGAUAAAACAAUAUAUGGUGUAAAUAGUUCAUGUCCUUUUGACAGACUGAGUUAUUUCAGUGUUACAUAAGCUUUACCACCUGAUGUAAUGCAUGAUCUGUUGGAAGGUGUAAUUCCUCUAGUUAUGAAACUAGUGAUUUGUAAAGCCCACACUGAGAAGCAUAUUACAAUUAGAGAGAUCAAUGAAGAAUUGCAAAAACUUCCCAUUGGUCAGAAUGACAAAACAAACAAACCAGUACAGUUAUCAGAGAGACUUCAGAGUGUUGGUAUUGUUGGAUCAGCAUCUCAAAAGUGGUGCCUGUUCAGAUUGCUGCCAUUUCUGAUGGCAGACCGUGUGCCACCUAAUUGUAAAUAUUGGCAUGUUUUUCUUCUAUGUCGUGAAAUAACAGAGAUUGUAAUGGCUAAAAAAGUGCGAAAAGAGAAUAUUUUAUUGUUGAAGUUGCUUGUCCAUGAGUUUCUCACAAAACUGAAAAGUGUAUUUGGGGAUGUAAUUACACCAAAGUGUCAUUAUUUAAUCCACUAUGCAAGACUGAUUGAAAUGUUCGGCCCUCUACGUUUGUUAUGGUGUAUGAGAUUUGAAAGUAAGCACCAGUAUUUCAAAACGUUGUCCCGCAAUUGUAGAAAUUUUAUGAACAUUGCUACAACUUUGAGCAACAGACAUCAGUUCAGACAGUGCUGGGAGUUUUCUAACAAAAGUUUACUUGGUGAAUUUGAAAAUGUUUUUGGAAAAAGUGUGACGACACCAUUUUUGUCAUUACCUCUGGAACUGCAACAAGCACUGACAGUCUAUUGUGGCUUUUCUGAAGUUGAUAGUGCUAAGAAAGCUUUCCAGCGUGUGUCAGAAGUAAUUGUGAACAGUGUCAAAUACUGUGUAAGAGAUGUGUUUGUCAUUGAUGUACUGCAUUCAGAGAGGAUUCCUCUGUUCUGGCAAAUUAAGUACAUAUUUAAUAUUGACACAAUGUGGGUCUUUUGUGGAAAAAUUCUCAUUCCUCUGUUAUAUGACAACCAUUUUCAUUCAUACAGUGUUAGAGUUGAUAGUGAAUGGACAUUGCUAAAACCUGGACAGGAAAUUGAUGUUGCAGCUUAUGACACAUACUCUGUUGAUAACAGUUUGUAUGUAACAGUUAAGCAAUGUAUUUAAGAAGGUAAUAAAUGUGACAAG